GACGAACGCUGGCGGCGUGCCUAAUACAUGCAAGUUGAGCGCUGAAGGUUGGUACUUGUACCAACUGGAUGAGCAGCGAACGGGUGAGUAACGCGUGGGGAAUCUGCCUUUGAGCGGGGGACAACAUUUGGAAACGAAUGCUAAUACCGCAUAAAAACUUUAAACACAAGUUUUAAGUUUGAAAGAUGCAAUUGCAUCACUCAAAGAUGAUCCCGCGUUGUAUUAGCUAGUUGGUGAGGUAAAGGCUCACCAAGGCGAUGAUACAUAGCCGACCUGAGAGGGUGAUCGGCCACAUUGGGACUGAGACACGGCCCAAACUCCUACGGGAGGCAGCAGUAGGGAAUCUUCGGCAAUGGACGAAAGUCUGACCGAGCAACGCCGCGGGAGUGAAGAAGGUUCUCGGAUCGUAAAACUCUGUUGGUAGAGAAGAACGUUGGUGAGAGUGGAAAGCUCAUCAAGUGACGGUAACUACCCAGAAAGGGACGGCUAACUACGUG
rnacentral:rRNA from 1 species